UACAGAGGUCCCAAGCGUUGUUCGGAUUCACUGGGCGUAAAGGGUGCGUAGGCGGUCGGGUAAGUCUGAUGUGAAAUCUCACAGCUUAACUGUGAAACUGCAUUGGAUACUAUCCGGCUAGAGGAAUGGAGGGGAGACUGGAAUACUUGGUGUAGCAGUGAAAUGCGUAGAUAUCAAGUGGAACACCAGUGGCGAAGGCGAGUCUCUGGACAUUUCCUGACGCUGAGGCACGAAAGCCAGGGUAGCAAACGGG
rnacentral:rRNA from 1 species